GCGCCCGUAGCUCAGUAGGAUAGAGCGGCGGUUUCCUAAACCGCAGGUCGGAGGUUCGAAUCCUCUCGGGCGUA
rnacentral:tRNA from 1 species